rnacentral:pre_miRNA from 1 species
AUUCUACUCCCUCCGUUGCACAAUACAUGCCUUCUAUUUGUCAAAAUAUAUAUGUAUCUAGACAUGUUUUAGUAUAUAGGUACAUCCAUUUUUGGACAAAUGGAAGUCAAGUAUUUUGGAAUGGAGGGAGUACANN